GGAGGAAAAGAAACCAACAGGGAUUGCCUCAGUAACGGCGAGUGAAGCGGCAACAGCUCAAAUUUGAAAUCUGGCCUCUUCGGGGUCCGAGUUGUAAUUUGUAGAGGAUGCUUUUGGGCAGUCUACCGGUCUAAGUUCCUUGGAACAGGACGUCAUAGAGGGUGAGAAUCCCGUAUGUGACCGGCCAGGCACCCUCCGUAAAGCUCCUUCGACGAGUCGGGUUGUUUGGGAAUGCAGCCCUAAAUUGGAGGUAAAUUUCUUCUAAAGCUAAAUACCGGCCAGAGACCGAUAGCGCACAAGUAGAGUGAUCGAAAGAUGAAAAGCACUUUGGAAAGAGAGUUAAAAAGCACGUGAAAUUGUUGAAAGGGAAGCGCUUGCAAUCAGUCUCGACGGCGGCUGUUCAGCCGGUCUUCUGACCGGUCCACUCAGCCGCCGCCGGGCCAGCAUCGGUUUCGGCGGUCGGAUAAAGGCCAUGGGAAUGUAGCUCCUCCGGGAGUGUUAUAGCCCAAGGUGCAAUACGAUCAGCCGGGACCGAGGUCCGCGCUUCGGCUAGGAUGCUGGCGAAAUGGUUGUAAGCGGCCCGUCUUGAAACACGGACCAAGGAGUCUAACAUCUAUGCGAGUGUUUGGGUGUCAAACCCAUACGCGUAAUGAAAGUGAACGGAGGUGGGAACCCUUUGGGUGCACCAUCGACCGAUCCUGAUGUCUUCGGAUGGAUUUGAGUAAGAGCAUAGCUGUUGGGACCCGAAAGAUGGUGAACUAUGCCUGAAUAGGGUGAAGCCAGAGGAAACUCUGGUGGAGGCUCGCAGCGGUUCUGACGUGCAAAUCGAUCGUCAAAUUUGGGUAUAGGGGCGAAAGACUAAUCGAACCAUUGAACAACUCAAACUACUAGGUGGUUGAGAGGCCGCGCAACAAAAGGCGACCUAGUCCGACAAGGCAACCCUCCCCUCUCACGGGGGGGGGGCCACUGCCUCCGGGCGACACUAUCAAAUUGCGGGAAAGCCCCGCGAAAGACCCGUGGCUACCGCCCCCCUCCCGAAAGGGCCAGGGUGGGCACCGGGCUAGCAGCCCCGGGUACGGUAAAAAUGCCACGGGAUGGGGUGACCACGCAGCCAAAUCCUCAAGGGGGUCCUUUCAACGGGGCCCCCAAGGACGCAGUCCACAGACUAGACGGUAGUGGGCGUCGACCCACCGCGGGCGACGCUUAAGAUAUAGUCGAAUGCCCCCCGGAGACGGGGGGUUCCAUACACACACGACGGUGUGACCAGUGCUAGUAGCUGGUUCCUGCCGAAGUUUCCCUCAGGAUAGCAGUAACGUUUUCAGUUUUAUGAGGUAAAGCGAAUGAUUAGAGGCCUUGGGGUUGAAACAACCUUAACCUAUUCUCAAACUUUAAAUAUGUAAGAAGUCCUUGUUACUUAGUUGAACGUGGACAUUUGAAUGCACCGUUACUAGUGGGCCAUUUUUGGUAAGCAGAACUGGCGAUGCGGGAUGAACCGAACGCGAGGUUAAGGUGCCGGAAUACACGCUCAUCAGACACCACAAAAGGUGUUAGUUCAUCUAGACAGCAGGACGGUGGCCAUGGAAGUCGGAAUCCGCUAAGGAGUGUGUAACAACUCACCUGCCGAAUGAACUAGCCCUGAAAAUGGAUGGCGCUCAAGCGUGUUACCCAUACCUCGCCGCCCGGGUAGAUGCGACGCCCGGGCGAGUAGGCAGGCGUGGAGGCCCGUGACGAAGCCUUGGGGGUGACCCCGGGUAGAACGGCCUCUAGUG
rnacentral:rRNA from 1 species